CAGCCACGAGAGGCGCCUGCGCAGUGGCCGCCCGUGGGUUGCGGGAGCCGGGCUCGUGGGCACCCACGCAGUCACUUUGGUGACGCGCGAAGGUCGUUGCCCCUUGGAGUCCGUUUGCAAGAAGCUCGGCCUCCGCGCUUGCUCACCCACAGCAAGGCUGCCCCCAGGGAGUCCGGAGCCCGCGUCCCGCUGCGUGGUUCCCGGAAGAAAAGCGGUUGGGGGCCCUUCUAAGCCCACCCCGCGCUCCGCGGGCGCAGGUGCGUUCGGCAAAGGGCAGGAGUGUGACCUCAGGACGCGCGGCGGGAAGCACAGCUGGCUCUCGGUGGGGCGGAGGGCUGCUCCAGGCCCCCCUGGAAGAGGUCGUGGGAUGCGCGCGCGGCCUCCUGCGCCCAGCGUCACUCUGGAGGGCCUGUAACACCCACGAGGACGCAGGCACUGCGGAAACCCUGGCAGUACCUCGUGGUUCUGCGAAUGACAAGGGAAAGCAGCUGCACCUUCAGUGCGCGCGCAGCCGGCCGCUUUUCUUUUUCCCGCCGUGGGGUGGAUGCGCAGAUGCAGAACCCCGCGGACACGGAGCACUGACUAACUUCCAAGGGAUUCACCUGUUAAAACGUGGUUGUAAUGCAACGUUCUUACCUCAACUGUGCAAUGAAGUUCGGCAGCCGAGCUAAAAACGAACGGGUGGGAAGGAUGCCUUGAAAUCACGGAGCUGUAGAUGAGUAACAGAAGGGCCAGGGGCGCCGGCGCAGAGGCCGACCCCGCUCCCUGGGGCGGGGCGAUGGGCGUAGAGCAUGACUUUCUUUAGGUUGCUCGUCCCAAGCUCGCUUGGAUCACCUGGGGGAGCUUUACAACUAAGAUCCAACCUAGGGCCCUCAUUCCAGCCGGACUAACUCACCUCCUGGUGGCAGGACUUGGGCACAGGUGCACUUGUGAUGCACCCCACGUGAUUCCCACGGGUAGCCCAGAUUGAGAGCCCCUGCUAGAGCAAGCAAAGGUGCCUGGACUUCAUCUUUAUCACAAGGACUUCAUUAAGGCCUUCAAGCAGCAGAGGCUUGAGGCCAGGUCUGUUCCAGGAAUCAGCUAUAGGGGAGGAGAUGGAGGUGGUUGCAGGAAUUCAGAGGGGAGAGUAGACUUGGACUCGAACAGCAGCAGUGGAGAUGAAGACAGAAAAGAUUCAAGUGCAACUUAGAAUCCUUAUUAUUAACUCAAAUUGGUUACCCCAGAGGAGAGGGUAACCAGCAGCGGUUGCUAUCGGCAGAUCUUGAUGGUUUCAAUGGGAGCUGCACAUACAUGCCUGGAAGAAGAAUCCAAAAUUCUAAAAUAAUGGGCAGUUGAUCUAGUAGUUAGUUCUAGAAUAAUGGACAAAUUAAUUAGCAAUUUAGCAGUAUUCAGGCUGUUGAAAUAAAGGCCAUUUGACAUUAAAAGUAAACAGGCUC
rnacentral:lncRNA from 1 species